UCCCUUCUCUCUGUCUCUGUUUGUCUCUUACUCUUUUUGUCUCUAUCACCACUCUUCCUUUAUACCCUCAUUCUCACCUCACCACCACCCCCAAUCUCCCUCCAGCCCCACUGCCCCCCGUCCCUGCACCUUGUACCUUGGUGGGUCCAGGACUGCCCACCCCUCCCAUGGCAGGGGCCCAGCCCCGCCACCCCCAGUUAUCACUCUCCAGACAGAGAUAAAGUUUAUCUCGAGGCUGGGGGAUAUGAAAGCUCCUUAUCAGCUGCCCCACUAGAGUAAGUGCUGCCCCAACGGGCAGCAGGCAGCAGGCCGGCACCCUCAACUCUCCUUCCGCCCAGCCCCUCACCCCAGAAUGGCAGCUCCACAAACAUAGAUGUGCUUAUCUCUUCUGUUCAACACUGUGUCUCCAAUGCCUGGAACAGGGCCAAGCACGCAGUAGGUGCUCAAUGAGCUGAGCCUCAGUUGAGAUGAGUCUGAAUGUACCAGAUCCAAAGGUAGAAAGUGCCACAUUCCCCGGGGAUGAGACCAGCUAAGGCGCUCCAGGACGAGCAGCUUUCUCAAAAGAGGAUGGAAGUCUGACUCACCGCGAGGUGCUGGACCAUUUCCUUCAAAGGCUGUGAUCAAGCAUAUAUCCAGGGAGCCAGGGACUGGGACCUUACUGAGGACUGAGGACUGUAGCCCAGGAGACAGCCUCGCAGAUAGCUCUCAGGAACUGCCCCAAAGAGGGAAGGCUUCUAUCUUUCAACAAAGUCCUCUUCAAAGUCUCCUUCAGGGUGCCAGGGACCCCUGGAAUUCUUCUAGCAAACCUCAAGGUCAGCGCUGUUUCCUGGCCCCUCCCCGCCUCACCCCACCCCAUCCAGAUGGCCCUGGCUGAACUGGCUCCCCGGAACCGCCCCGAGGGAGCCGGGAGCCGAGUGAAGCAGCAGCCCACUCCUGGCAGACGUGCUGAUGGCAGACUGUGUGUUAGAACAGGGACUUUCCGUGUCCCUCUGCUGCCCUCUGCUUGUCUUAGAAAGAGGAAGGAAGAGAGGACGGGAAAAUGGAUGAAAGCACACCGGGAUAGCCCGCAUGAAAGGGAAGCAGGUUACCAAGCCCGGCUGGGAACGCCCAGCCUUGGUGCCAAUACCAGUGCCCCAGACCCCCAUGGGCCACGCUGUUCACCUGCUUCUCCGAAAUCCUGCUCCACAUCCUGGCUGGCAGCCUGGAGGGCAGAUGGCGCAGCAUGGUAGGCUUCCUUGCCCCCGGCCUCUGGACAACCCUCUGGCUCAGUGCCUGGAGAUCAAGGGGCAGGAAUGGGAGGGCCACGGACCGGGGACUGCUGGUGUUGACCGAGGUAGAUGGG